CAGUGAUGGAAGCAAGGGAGACCUGGCACGAAGUUCAAUGGCCGAACUUGGCAAAGCCUUCAACCCGCUGUCAGCAGGCGCCAUGGCAGAAAUCGAGCGGUUUGUCUGCAUGCUGUAUGGCCGGUCAAACCAGUCAAGCGUUAACAGCUUACGGUACGAGUUGUUUUGCUUGCUGGAUAACGCCAAGGAUUCGAGCAGACUGCCCCCAUGCCACGAUGCUCUGCGUAAACACGCAGCAAGGGCCAACUUCCAGGCGGCUGUUUGGUGACGUGCUCUAGAAGCCCAGCCCCCUGUCCCUGAAGCGUACGCUGGAAGCCAUGGUUGGCAGCUGUCCAAUGGCCAGCUGCGCAUUGAUUGGCUCUCGGUAGCUGCAGCACCACAAGCAAUCUCGGAAUUUGUGAAGUGUUCCUACAAGACCGGCUGCCAAGGGAAUAGAUGCUCAUGCCGCAGCCAAUCCCUUCCCUGCACGGAUGUUUGUGGAUGCAGUAGCGAGUGUAGCAACCGCGAGGAGUCAGGUCAUCCCAUAAUUCAAGAAGAUGACGACACUGUCCAGUAGCCGUUGGAUUACUACACAUGCCUGGUCCAAGAUCUCCAUCACCACAGCUGUCAGCUGUCAUCGUGUUGCAGCAUUGGUGUAACAUUUCUAUCUGUUUAACUGCCUACAGACUGUACUUGCCCUGGCAACCUGGUAGGCCCAUUCGAUCAUGCCACACACUCUUUCCACACUGUAUGUAUUUUUCAUGUUGAUAACAAUCACAGCAUAAUAUCUGUAAUGAGCCUAAGUGAACUGCAGUAGUCGUUGUCUUCCGUGAUGUUUCCUCUGAUACUGCUACUCUGGCUGGCUAUGUUAUGUGUAAUUCGAAGUACAUCAGACUCUAGGGUACAGUUUACGGAUUCUGGUUGCCAUGCGUUUAAGCAGCUCAAUCAAUGCUAAUACAUGGCCAAUCGAAACGGUCUGUCCUCUGCAUUGAUGAAACGGGGCGUAGUGGUGCACCCAUUGCAUGAAAGUCUUUC